AUGAACGCUAGCUACAGGCUUAACACAUGCAAGUCAGGGGCAGCAUAUCGAAGCUUGCUUGAUAGAUGGCGACCGGCGCACGGGUGAGUAACGCGUAUCCAACCUUCCCAUCACUCAGGGAUAGCCCGCCGAAAGGCGAAUUAAUACCUGAUGGUCUCCUUUGCAGACAUCUAACGAGGAGUAAAGAUUCAUUGGUGAUGGAUGGGGAUGCGUCUGAUUAGGUAGUAGGCGGGGUAACGGCCCACCUAGCCGACGAUCAGUAGGGGUUCUGAGAGGAAGGUCCCCCACAUUGGAACUGAGACACGGACCAGACUCCUACGGGAGGCAGCAGUGAGGAAUAUUGGUCAAUGGGCGCGAGCCUGAACCAGCCAAGUAGCGUGCAAGGACGACUGCCCUAUGGGUUGUAAACUGCUUUUAUCAGGGAAUAAAGUGAGGCACGCGUGCCUUUUUGUAUGUACCUGAUGAAUAAGGACCGGCUAAUUCCGUGCCAGCCGCGGC
rnacentral:rRNA from 1 species